AUGUGGAACCCUGAGCCCCUCAGUCAGAAGUUCUGGCUUCUGGUCCCUGUUCUGGGAUGGACCAUUCGUGUCUUUCCAUGUUAUGUCUCCUCCACAAGUGAAGAUCCAGAGAUUACCAAUAUUUGUGCCUCGCUCCCACUUCACGUUGCUCCAGGGUUGCAUGUGUAUGUGCUGGUGUCUCUACCUGGAACACUGUUCAUUUCCUCCAGACAGAAGCCAACCUCCCCAGUCUCCCUCAUCCAUACCUCCACCAACAACCGUAUGGGCUCCCCUACCUGCUUUCACAAACUUACCCACUGCCUGAGACCAGGGGAAGGAUUUUUCCUCCUUUGGGACCACGGACCCAUUUAGUCAUGCUUCAAUACAUACAAUAAAGUGUAUGAGCAAGGAGAACA
rnacentral:lncRNA from 1 species